rnacentral:rRNA from 1 species
CACUAGUGAUUCUUGGUCAUUUAGAGGAAGUAAAAGUCGUAACAAGGUCUCCGUUGGUGAACCAGCGGAGGGAUCAUUACCGAGUUUACAACUCCCAAACCCCUGUGAACAUACCACUUGUUGCCUCGGCGGAUCAGCCCGCUCCCUGUAAAACGGGACGGCCCGCCAGAGGACCCUAAACUCUGUUUCUAUAUGUAACUUCUGAGUAAAACCAUAAAUAAAUCAAAACUUCCAACAACGGAUCUCUUGGUUCUGGCAUCGAUGAAGAACGCAGCAAAAUGCGAUAAGUAAUGUGAAUUGCAGAAUUCAGUGAAUCAUCGAAUCUUUGAACGCACAUUGCGCCCGCCAGUAUUCUGGCGGGCAUGCCUGUUCGAGCGUCAUUUCAACCCUCAAGCUCAGCUUGGUGUUGGGAACCGCGUUAAUCCGCGCUCCCCAAAUUGAUUGGCGGUCACGUCGAGCUUCCAUAGCGUAGUAGUAAAACCCUCGUUACUGGUAAUCGUCGCGGCCACGCCGUUAAACCCCAACUUCUGAAUGUUGACCUCGGAUCAGGUAGGAAUACCCGCUGAACUUAAGCAUAUCAA